rnacentral:tRNA from 1 species
UAUAAAUUAUGCUAAUAGCUAAUGGGCUCAUACCCCAUAAAUGUUAUUUAUAU